UACGAAGGGGGCUAGCGUUGUUCGGAAUUACUGGGCGUAAAGGGCGCGUAGGCGGGCGGUCAAGUCGGGGGUGAAAUCUUUCAGCUUAACUGGAAAAGUGCCUCCGAUACUGAUCGCCUCGAGGGAGGUAGGGGCAUGUGGAACUUCCGGUGGAGCGGUGAAAUGCGUAGAUAUCGGAAGGAACGCCGGUGGCGAAAGCGACGUGCUGGACCUCUUCUGACGCUGAGGCGCGAAAGCUAGGGGAGCAAACGGG
rnacentral:rRNA from 1 species